UACAGAGGUCUCAAGCGUUGUUCGGAUUCAUUGGGCGUAAAGGGUGUGUAGGUGGCGCCGUAAGUCGGGUGUGAAAUUUCGGAGCUUAACUCCGAAACUGCAUUCGAUACUGCGGUGCUUGAGGACUGGAGAGGAGACUGGAAUUCAUGGUGUAGCAGUGAAAUGCGUAGAUAUCGUAAGGAAGACCAGUGGCGAAGGCGGGUCUCUGGACAGUUCCUGACGCUGAGGCACGAAGGCCAGGGGGAGCAAAACGGG
rnacentral:rRNA from 1 species